GUGAACGCUGGCGGUAGGCCUAACACCUGCAAGUCGAACGGCAGCACAGUAAGAGCUUGCUCUUACGGGUGGCGAGUGGCGGACGGGUGAGGAAUACAUCGGAAUCUACUUUUUCGUGGGGGAUAACGUAGGGAAACUUACGCUAAUACCGCAUACGGCCUACGGGUGAAAGCAGGGGAUCUUCGGACCUUGCGCGAUUGAAUGAGCCGAUGUCGGAUUAGCUAGUUGGCGGGGUAAAGGCCCACCAAGGCGACGAUCCGUAGCUGGUCUGAGAGGAUGAUCAGCCACACUGGAACUGAGACACGGUCCAGACUCCUACGGGAGGCAGCAGUGGGGAAUAUUGGACAAUGGGCGCAAGCCUGAUCCAGCCAUACCGCGUGGGUGAAGAAGGCCUUCGGGUUGUAAAGCCCUUUUGUUGGGAAAGAAAAGCAGCAGGUUAAUACCCCGCUGUUCUGACGGUACCCAAAGAGUAAGCACCGGCUAACUUCGUG
rnacentral:rRNA from 1 species